GUUUGCUUCGUUGAGAGAGGAAAGCGCUGCAGGAAAUCAUUGGUUUUGUUUUUUGCUUUUAUUUCUACGCUGGAUCUCCACCGCAUGGGAGACGACGCGUGUAAGAAUCGUUCAGAUGGAACAAAGGAGCCAAAAUAAUCGUUCCAGAAGGGGUUCAGAGAACCAGAUGUGGGGGGGGGGGGGGUACAAGCCCCAAGUUUCAGGUUGACCCCCAUUAAUUUUCAGAUGAAAGAGGAAAAAUAGCAUUCUUAUCUAUAUCACUUCCUUCUUCAGGAAAAGAGACCCUAAAAGUCUUUUAAAAUAUGUCAUUAUUGGAUUUUUUGAGGUAUGAAAACGGCUCCCGCUCGGACAGUUAACUAAACAUCACUCCGCAUAUUCAUAACACUAUGGCACAAAUGCAGUACGCAAUGGAUCUAUUUCCCAACAUACUGAAUCACAGAAAGUUAACAUGCGUUGAACUAGUGUGAACACCAUCACAAUUAGUGGCAGGUUUAUACAGGUGUUGAACAGCUUUUGGUGGAUGCAGUGGAUAGCAGUGAAUCGUUAGGAUCAACAAGAAAAGCAAGAACACGAAGGAAGAUUCAUAGCAUUCUAUAGCAGGUUAGUGGAAGUCUGAAGAGCAACCGGAAACAGAUGUGGAGGGAUAGAGUGGAGGUGGAGUUGGUGUGGAUGACGCCUGGUGGAAGAGUUCGUGUCUCUGUGCAAGGGCAGCAGAGCAAGGACAAGCCUCCUAGGACGCGCUUCCGUGGUGCAGCGGAAACGUGCCCCCCACAUGCGCAAGGGCCUUGGAUCUGUCGUGUUUACCCCAGCGAAGACACUUUCAAACUACAACGCGGGUCUUGCAGAGUGUAAUUCAGACGGAGGAGCUGCUUUAAAAAAAUGGUAGCAGGCAUGUUUUACAGCAUGACCCGCCCAUUACGACUCUGAAGCCCUUAAAUCCGCAAGUCUCAAGAAAUACAUCAAGGUAGCGGCGAGCGGUGAGGCCGGGCGCCGCGAACCAGACACGGCUACAAGCGACCCACCCAAGAGCGAUACGCGGCAAGACUGUGGUUUAUAUACUCUUGUGUCUUGUCACAAAAGAUUUUUAAAUAAUAUAAAUUAAAAUAAAAUAGGUAAAAAUAA